GUGCCAGCCGCCGCGGUAAUACCGGCAGCCCGAGUGAUGGCCGAUCUUAUUGGGCCUAAAGCGUCCGUAGCUGGCCGAACAAGUCCGUCGGGAAAUCCACGUGCUUAACGCGUGGGCGACCGGCGGAAACUGUCCGGCUUGGGGCCGGAGGACCCGAGGGGUACGUCCGGGGUAGGAGUGAAAUCCCGUAAUCCCGCACGGACCACCGAUGGCGAAAGCACCUCGAGAAGACGGCUCCGACGGUGAGGGACGAAAGCCAGGGUCUCGAACCGGAUUAGAAACCCUUGUAGCC
rnacentral:rRNA from 1 species